GUUCGCUUCAGAAGCACAUAUACUAAAAUUAGAACAAUACAGAGAAGAUUAACAUGGCCCCUGCGCAAGAAUGACACACAAAUUCAUGACGCAUUCCAUAUUUGA